rnacentral:rRNA from 1 species
GCUACGGGUGGCAGCAGUGGGGAAUAUUGGACAAUGGGGGGAACCCUGAUCCAGCGACGCCGCGUGAGUGAAGAAGUAUUUCGGUAUGUAAAGCUCUAUCAGCAGGGAAGAAAGAAAUGACGGUACCUGACCAAGAAGCCCCGGCUAACUACGUGCCAGCAGCCGCGGUAAUACGUAGGGGGCAAGCGUUAUCCGGAUUUACUGGGUGUAAAGGGAGCGUAGACGGUAAUGCAAGUCUGGAGUGAAAUGCAGGGGCUCAACCCCUGAACUGCUUUGGAAACUGUAUGACUGGAGUGCAGGAGAGGUAAGUGGAAUUCCUAGUGUAGCGGUGAAAUGCGUAGAUAUUAGGAGGAACACCAGUGGCGAAGGCGGCUUACUGGACUGUAACUGACGUUGAGGCUCGAAAGCGUGGUGAGCAAACAGGAUUAGAUACCCGAGUAGUC